rnacentral:tRNA from 14 species
UCCCCGAUAGCUCAGUCGGUAGAGCAGUAGACUGUUAAUCUAUUGGUCGUUGGUUCAAGUCCAACUCGGGGAGCCA